rnacentral:rRNA from 1 species
GAUGAACGCUGGCGGCGUGCCUAACACAUGCAAGUCGAGCGAGAUGUCUGUGAUGGAUUCUUCGGAUGACAGAUCAGACGGAAAGCGGCGGACGGGUGAGUAACGCGUAGGCAACCUGCCCUUCACAGAGGGAUAGCCUCGGGAAACCGGGAUUAAAACCUCAUAAUGCCAUAGGAAGACAUCUUCUCUUGGCCAAAGAUUUAUCGGUGAAGGAUGGGCCUGCGUCUGAGUAGUUAGUUGGUGGGGUAACGGCCUACCAAGGCGACUAUCAGUAGCCGACCUGAGAGGGUGAUCGGCCACAUUGGAACUGAGACACGGUCCAAACUCCUACGGGAGGCAGCAGUGGGGAAUAUUGCACAAUGGGGGAAACCCUGAUGCAGCAACGCCGCGUGAAGGAAGAAGGCCUUCGGGUCGUAAACUUCUGUCCUUGGGGAAGAAACAAAUGACGGUACCCUUGGAGGAAGCCCCGGCUAACUACGUGCCAGCAGCCGCCGCAGUAA